UACUCCAAGAUGGCGGCAUGUAUGGUCUGAUGUGUGUUUGUCCUCUUACCUAUACUCAUUUGAUUGCCUUUAUGCUCAUAUAUGGAGUAACAAUUUUAGCAGAUUCUAUGAUUGAGCUCUUUGGUUUUUAGAUGAAAUAAUUUUUUAUUGGAUUAUGGACUACUUUGCUGCAGAAAAGCUUCCAUCUCCAGGCUCUACUUGAAUCCUGAGGCCCUGUUAGCCUAUAGGCCCUAGCAGUCCAGCUACCAUCUCUAGGCUCCAGGCCCUAGCAGCCCAGCUACCAUCUCUAGGCUCCAGGCCCUAGCAGCCCAGCUACCAUCUCCAGGCUCUGCUUGAAUACUGAGGCCUUCCUAGCCUCUCCAGACCCUAGCAGCCCAGCUUCCAUCUCCAGGCUCUACUUGGAUAUUGAGGACCUGUUAGCCUCUCCAGGCCUUAGCAGCCCAGCUACCAUCUCUAGGCUCCAGGCCCUAGCAGCCUAGCUACCAUCUUCCUUCUCUAACCCAGCUCCAGCCCAGCUAUCAUCUCUAGGCUCCAGGCCCUAGCAGCCCAGUUUCCAUCUUCAGGCUUUAUUUGGAUCCAGAGGCUUUGUUAGCCUCUCCAGGCCCUAGCAGCCCAGCUACCAUUGCUAGGCUCCAGGCCCUAGCAGCCCAGCUACGUGGAUCCUGAGGUCCUGUCAGCUACUCCUGGUUUUGCUAACAUCUUCUGCUAACAUGGCUCUUCUCUUAAUGCUGCUUUGUUCAUUGUUUGUGCAGAAUCUAAGAUCAAGUGAUUUAUACUGGGGAAUCCCACCGAGCCUUUUAGACCUUUAGUUCCGGGAAAACCAACGUCUCCCGGCAGGAAGUCUGAGCCAAAGAAGAAAAAACAGUCGGUCAGAAAAACAGACGGACUUGGACAUGUUGGAAGGAACUUCCAGGUACUUCCAGGACCUGGACCACAAACUGUCCAUCACCUGGUAUUCCUGGUUCUCCGGGUUCUCCGUCGACUCCAAAACCUCCCGGGACUCCAUCCUGUCCU